rnacentral:misc_RNA from 1 species
UCUAGCUUAUAUAAGCAGACAUAUCAUUCCCUCUCCAAUCCUUACAAAUCAACCCCGUCUCUUUUUCUUUUCUGAAAUUCAAUCGCUAGCUGCUUUUCUUUCUUGUACAUGAUGGUUUUUGGCUAUUGGAGAAGAAAACGUAACUCUUCCAAUGAUGCUCGCAAGAAGAAGAAGCUACCCACUUCCAAGAUGGAGGAGCUGCUCAUUCCCAACCAUUUUCUUUGCCCCAUUUCUCUUGAUCUUAUGAAAGAUCCUGUCACUUUGUCUUCUGGUUUCACUUAUGAUCGAUCAAACAUUGAGGCCUGGCUUCAGGCUGGGAAUUUCACUUGCCCUGUUACCAAUCAGAUACUCACUAGUUUUGAUCUCAUCCCCAAUCAUAAUAUCAGGAAAAUGAUUCAAGAUUGGUGCGUCGAGAAUCGCAACUUUGGUAUCCAACGUAUCCCAACACCUAAAGUUCCUGUCUCCCCUACUCAGGUGUCUGAAGUUCUUUCAAAUCUUGCUGCUUCAACUAGGAGUUUGGAUCUAUACGAAUGCCUGGAUUUGGCGCAUAAAAUCAAGAAAUGGGGCAAUGAGAGUGAGCGCAAUAGGCGUUGCAUUGUGGAUAAUGGAGCAACCGCAGUGUUAGCUUCAACAUUUGAUGCAUUUGCUACAAAUUCUUUCGAAAGAAAUGCUAAUGUUUUGGAGGAAAUAUUGUCUAUCCUGAAUUGGAUGUUUCCAUUCGAUGUGGAAUCGCAAAUACAUUUAGGCUCGCACAAUUCUCUACGUUGCAUGUUGUGGUUCUUGGAAUGCAGAGAUCUUUCAUCCAAGCAGAACUCCAUUACUGCGUUGAUAGAGCUUCUUUCUUCAGAUCAAAAGCAUGCAGAAGCACUGGCAACCAUUGAAGGCGUCAAUGAAAUUCUAUUUAGGUUCAUUAAAGACCCAAUUUGCCCUAAAAUCACCAAAGCUUCUCUAAUGGUUAUAUUUUAUCUACUUUCACAUCCUUCUUCAAGUGAGAAUAUCAAAUCAGCAUUAGUGAAGAUGGGUAUGGUUUCUUUACUGAUAGAAAUCAUUAUCGACUCAGAAAACAGCACAUGUGAGAGAGCUUUAGGUGUUUUUGAUAAGCUUUGUGAUUGUGAAGAAGGGAGAGAAGAGGCAUACAGUAAUGCCCUAACAUGGCCAGUGCUGGUGAAGAAAAUCCUGAGGGUAUCAGAAGUGGCAACAGACCAUUCGGUUUCAUCCAUUUGGAAGCUUAACAAAUAUGGAAGAAAAGAGAGAGUUUUGGUUGAGGUUCUUCAAGUUGGUGCUUUCCAAAAACUAGUGUUAUUGUUGCAGCUUGGCUGUGUUGAUGAGACGAAGGAGAAAGCAACUGAGCUUUUGAAACAAAUGAAUCCUUAUAGGAAUGGCUUGGAAUGCACUGAGUCCGUUGAUUUCAAGAACCUUAAACGAUCAUUUUGAAGAGCUUCAAAGAUUUUGCAAUUUUUUAAUAUUUACUUUUCUCCUUGUAAUUAAGGAUUCUUGAGAAAUUAUUCUAUGUAUAUGAGACCCCUUUUCAUUGUAAUAAUCAUUAAUCUACAUUCACGUGGAUUCUAU